CUGAAAGCUCAAAAUUCCAAUUCUUUCCAUCCUUGCAGGAAAGCCUACAAUUCUGAGAUCAUUGUAUUACAAAGCUCCUCAGAAUUAUGCUGAACUGUUGCAACAUCCUGCGGAGUGCACAAAGGAAAGACACCAAGAGGAAAUUUAUGGUCAAAGGCCAUAACAAAACUGGAUUCUCAAUGGCUUUUUGAGGGAGUUAAGAAAAGAGAAAGUGCCGCCUCUUCUGUUAACAUGUAACUUCAAGACACGAGAUUUUUCAAGGACAGUACACAAGCCCUGAGACAAAACUCAUCCUUUCAAGUGGCUGGUUCUUAAAGACCUCCUAUUAAGAAUUCAGGUGCAGGUGGAUUAAGCUGAUGACAGCACCACGCAUGGAACUUGGGUGUCACCAGAGGAGUUUUUUGGCAGGCAAACAAUCCGGCUGUGAGCUGCAAGCACCUGCCUGUGCCCCUGCACCCCACCACCAUGCAGUGCAGGUGGAUCUCAUGUGCUGCUUGCACACCAGGAUCCACUACAGCGGCUCCAGAUUUUCCUCCUCCUCCACAGCUGUCACUAGCUUCCAGCAGACAGGUUACAAGGGAAAAGAACAAUACAAACCCAAAACCCAGAUGUUUAGAGCAGACUCUCUGAUGCCUGAAGAACCAAGACUAAAGAGUCAAGACAAAAGUUUUGGCAAGUUCAUCCCAGGUCACUGUUUGCCUUGGGAAAAGUGAGGUCAACCUACACCAUCAUUUUAUAGCCCUGAGAGUAAUUUGUCCAUGUCUUACAUCCCCUUGUGCUAAGCACCUUGCACUAAGCACUGACACCAUGUGCCAGCACCCAGCUUGGUGUCACGACAACAUCGACCAGCAGUGACACCACGCAGCAACCCCUAGAAGGGAUUUCUGUGUCCCUCCAUGGAAUCAAAUGGCAGGUGGCCUUUUGGAGUAGGCAUGGAACAUUGUAUCAUUGUAUGUGAGGGAGAGCUGCAAGCUCUCACCGCCGCAUUUGUCCCUUGAUUUCAUUUCUCAGGUGAACAGUGAAAGCUGGAUAACCACAACGCUUCACCCUCUUAUGGUGAAAUUGAAAGAGGAAGUAUUCUGUGUUGAAAAAACACAUCAGCAUUGCAAGUUUCCCAUGCAUUUGUGCAACUAUCCAAAAGCAUUUAAUGUAGUUUUCAGCAGCUGUCCCCAGGCUGGCAGAGAUGGGCACCUGGGCUUGCAGUCUAAGAGUGCAAUGGAGAAAGUUACAAGGUCCUUUGCAUGGUAAUGGAUGAUAUUUUUUAUUUUUCCAAAGUAAAAAUCACUUUUCUCAUCCUGGCAACAUCAUCUUAACACUGAACAACCUAAAUGGCUUUUGAUUCACAUGAUGUCAUACUUUUAAAUAUCCUUUCUUUUACACAUAGUUUACAUGUAUGCUCUCUGUUGACACUCCCACCAAAUAAAAGUUAUUUGAGUUGCCA
rnacentral:lncRNA from 1 species